GAAAUGCGAUAAGUAAUGUGAAUUGCAGAAUUCCGUGAAUCAUCGAAUCUUUGAACGUACAUUGCGCCCUCUGGCAUUCCGGGGGGCAUGCCUGUCCGAGCGUCAUUACGCACCCUCAAGCCCGGCUUGUGUGAUGGGCCCCGGCGUCUCGUUCGCGAGACGGGCCCGAAAGGCAGCGGCGGCGUCGACCCGAUGAGCCCGAGCGUAUGGGGACUUCUGUCACACGUUCGCGGUGCGGACCGGCGCCUGCUUGACUUUUCUGAUUAUCCAGGUUGACCUCGGAUCAGGUAGGGAUACCCGCUGAACUUAAGC
rnacentral:misc_RNA from 1 species